CCUACGGGAGGCAGCAGUGAGGAAUAUUGGUCAAUGGGCGAGAGGCUGAACCAGCCAAGUAGCGUGAAGGAUGACUGCCCUACGGGUUGUAAACCUCUUUUAUAAAGGAAUAAAGUGAGGCACGUGUGCCUUUUUGUGUGUACUUUAUGAAUAAGGAUCGGCUAACUCCGUGCCAGCAGCCGCGGUAAUACGGAGGAUCCGAGCGUUAUCCGGAUUUAUUGGGUUUAAAGGGUGCGUAGACGGGAUGGUAAGUCAGUUGUGAAAGUUUGAGGCUCAACCGUAAAAUUGCAGUUGAUACUGGCAGCCUUGAGUACAGUUGAGGUAGGCGGAAUUCGUGGUGUAGCGGUGAAAUGCAUAGAUAUCACGAAGAACUCCGAUUGCGAAGGCAGCUUACUAACCUGCCACUGACAUUAAUGCUCGAAAGUGUGGGUAUCAAACAGGAUUAGAUACCCUAGUAGUC
rnacentral:rRNA from 1 species